rnacentral:rRNA from 1 species
ACCUCAAAUCAGGUAAGAAUACCCGCUGAACUUAAGCAUAUCAAUAAGCGGAGGAAAAGAAAAUAACAAUGAUUCCCUCAGUAACGGCGAGCGAAGAGGGAUAAGCUCAAAUUUUAAAUCUGUUGGGUUUCACCUAACAGAGUUGUAUUUUGAAGAAACGUUUUCUGCGUCCAGGAUUAGCCUAAAUCCUUUGGGAUAAGGUAUCAUGGAAGGGUGAGAAUCCCGUUCAUGGUUAAUCUUAAGGAUGCUCUACGAUACGUUCUCCAAGAGUCGAGUUGUUUGGGAUUGCAGCUCAAAAUGGGAGGUAAAUUUCUCCUAAGGCUAAAUAUUGGCGAGAGACCGAUAGCGAACAAGUACCGUGAGGGAAAGAUGAAAAGAACUUUGAAAAGAGAGUUAAACAGUACGUGAAAUUGUUGAAAGGGAAACGAUUGAAGUCAGUCAUAUCAACGGGAAAUCAAUCUUUUGAGUUUGAUCUUGUGGGUUUCGGAGAGUUUAAAAGCCUUCGGAUUCGUUAGGAUUGGGCUCUUUUGGUGUACUUUCUCGUAAGGUUAGUCAACAUCGGUUUUGAAUGUCAUAAAAUGACUGGAGGAAUGUUGCUUCGAUCUCGUAUCGAAGUGUUAUAGCCUUUGGUAGAUGUGAUGUUCGAGUCCGAGGAUUGCAACGGAUACCCUUCUGGGCUAUUCGUCUGAUCUCUGAUACGUUGCCUUGAUGUCGAAAGCUUGCUUAUGAUGUUAGGGUAUUACGGUCAAAAGGUUAGAACGGAUUAAAUUCGUUAAGGAUGUUGACGUAAUGACUUUAAACGACCCGUCUUGAAACACGGACCA